rnacentral:rRNA from 1 species
UACGUAGGGGGCUAGCGUUGUCCGGAAUCAUUGGGCGUAAAGAGCGUGUAGGCGGUCCGGUAAGUCCGCUGUGAAAGUCGGGGGCUCAACCCUCGAAUGCCGGUGGAUACUGUCGGGCUAGAGUGCGGAAGAGGCGAGUGGAAUUCCUGGUGUAGCGGUGAAAUGCGCAGAUAUUAGGAGGAACACCUAUUGCGAAGGCAGCUCGCUGGGACGUAACUGACGCUGAGGAGCGAAAGCGUGGGGAGCGAACAGG